rnacentral:rRNA from 1 species
AAACUCCGAAUGCCGUCAUCUUAUACUUGGGAGUCAGACUGUGGGUGAUAAGAUUCAUAGUCGAAAGGGCAACAGCCCAGAUCGUCAGCUAAGGGCCCUAAAUGUAAGUUAAGUGGUAAAGGAUGUGGGAUUGCACAGACAACCAGGAUGUUGGCUUAGAAGCAGCCACUCAUUCAAAGAGUGCGUAAUAGCUCACUGGUCGAGUGAUCCUGCGCCGAAGAUUUCCGGGGCUAAAACUUACU